CAUCUUUCAGGAUUUGAAAUAGCUCAACUGGAAUUACAUCACCUCCAGUAGCUUUGUUCAUAGUGAUGCUUCCUAAGGCCCACUUGACUUCACAUUCCAGGAUGUCUGGCUCUAGGGCUGGAAUGCAGAAGUGGAGCCAGAGAAUAAUCUUUAACCGUGGGGAUGAGGAUAUGGGAAGGCUAUCAAAUAGAAAGAACCUGUGACUCUGAAUGUUCAGAAGAGGGAUGAAGAACGAGUCACUGGGCUGUCAUCUUCCAGUGAGGUGUGCUGCCAGCUGGUGAGGAUGACUUCCAGUUCCCCACACCUGCUGGAACUCUCUAGCUAUUUCCACGACAUUCGAUUUCUGCUGACAGCUCCUGGGUGUGGACCAGCCCCAUCUCUGAAGGGAUGUGUUGCAUCCUAGAGGCCGUGCUGUGUCCCUGCUGACCACAUGCUCCAUGCCCUCACCAGCUGCUGCACCGCUCUCGCUGGUGGACAAUGCUGACUGCAUGUCCCACCUUCAAAGAUGACUUUCCCUGGUUCCCAAGUCAGUGUUUGCAAUGUGAGAAUCAGGCCUCCUGCUGCAUGUGUAUGAACAGACAACAUUGUCCCAGACCCAAGUUGACUAAACAAGUGACCUGUUUGCUUUUAUUGGAGGUGUUGCUGCGGAGCUGAAAUGCACCCUCACAGAUCUUUUUGGUGGGAUUACACCUGUUUGAAUUCACAACAAUUCUCUGUUCCAGUGACUUUGAGGAUUCAAGGACAAGACCCUUUAAAAAAAAACUACAGCUGAGUUUGGGAAGCAAGUUGAGAAACCUAUAAUGUGUAUUAUUGAUUAGUUUCCCCAUCUCUGCAAAGGCAAAGAUACUAAAAAUUGUGAAGCCAUUUAUCACAGCCUCCUCCAAGGCCCUGUGCUGAAUUUUGCAUUUGUACUUUCCUAUUCUUGAAGAGGACUUCCCCACUGUCUAAUAUGCAGGCAUUCUAAAACCUGGAUUCAUUCUUGAACCUGUGAAAAUCAAGCCACACCAGCCUGGGAAUAAAGUCAGAGACAAAAGAAUUUUUUUUAAUUCUACAGCAUCUUGUUAUGUUUAAAAAAAUUAACAGAAUUUGGUUUGGUUUGGUUCCUUUUUUUUUUAGUAUAUUACAAAUGUGUAAAAAUCUUCCCUCAAAUGUUGCUAAAGUGGGCAGCAAGAAUCAUGAGACAUUUAUCUUUGUUUUUCUUUCUAAAAAUGAGUGAAGAAAAAC
ensembl:lncRNA